GCGUAGGUACUCAAGCGGUCAACGAGGGCAGUCUGUAAAACUGCUGGCUUCGGUCUACGGAGGUUCGAAUCCUCCCCUACGCA
rnacentral:tRNA from 1 species